AUUACGGAGAGUUUGAUCCUGGCUCAGGAUGAACGUUGGCGGCGUGCUUAACACAUGCAAGUCGAACGAAGAAUUUGUAGCAAUACGAGUUCUUAGUGGCGAAUGGGUGAGUAACACGUAGGUGACCUACCCUGGAGUGGGGAAUAACAGUCCGAAAGGAUUGCUAAUACCCCAUACA
rnacentral:rRNA from 1 species